GGUGAUCUCUGCAUCCCCAUGGAUCCCCAGGGGCUGGGGGUGGAUCUCUGCAUCCCCAUGGAUCCCAGGGGCUGGGGGUGAUCUCUGCAUCCCCGGAUCCCCACGGGCUGCAGGCACACAGCUGCUUCCCCAUGGUCAUCACCACAGUCUGCAGAGGAAUCCUUGUUCUGUUGCAUAGUUUUAUAUACUUUAUCUUUCAGUAUUGAAGUGAGACAGUAGCAUAUUUAAUAAGCCUAAACUUAGUCCCUGAUAUCUAAGGAAUCAUGGCAGGGCUGAUUAUUUCCAUGUGCAGCAUCAGUAGCAAGUUAACCUCACAAGGAAUAGGAAAAAUCCUUGUAUACUUCGUUUUACUGCUGGGACUCAGGAAUCAGGAUACUUUAAUAUUGGGUCUAACAGUGACUCUGGGUCCUCAUAAUUCAGGAUUUCAGACCUAGAUCACCAAUACUAGUGCCCUUUCUAGACAAUGUGCUGGGACAUUUUCUACCCUGAGUCAUUUUCAUCUGCAGCUGGAUGAAAUAUAGCUUAACUUCAAACAAGAGAGAGGCUGAUUUACAGCAGGCAGCAGUGCAGCUAUAUAUUUCAUAUAUAUUUUCAACACUGAGGUUUUCAUAACUAAAUGCAUGUCUUUUUCCAGGCCUUCUUGAAUGUGCAGAGUCCACAAAAAUUCAGAUCAUACAAAUUGCAGUACCAGAGAAAAUUGUUCCAGCUGCCUGCUCAUUCAUUCAUUCAUUCAUUCAUUCAUUCAUUCAUUCAUUCAUUCAUUCAUUCAACUUAGUCAUACAAAACACACAAAGAAGACUGUAUAGGUGCCAUAAGUAUCCUUAUUUUUCAAGGCUAAAUCCUGCCUGGUCUUUGACAGAGGUUUUUUGACAGUUGCUUGCACUGUACAUAAAUAAAGAAACUAGUAGUUCCUGGUUUUUCUUCUGGGCCUUUGUGGGAAUGUGUGUGCUUCACUGCCCCUGGAAGAAUGGCCACCUCCCAGUGCAUCUCAAUUUCUCUUCUUUAAGUCAUUACAAGGAUAUCUCUUCAAGGAAUUAUGUGGACACCUUAAAAAAAAAAGGGAGAAUACUCCUUCUUUAACACAUAUUAAAGAAUAUGACGAAGAAUACAAGCCAGAACGAAUGCUAAAAAAAAAAAGAAAAGAAAACCGUUUUGAGAAAAAAGCAAAAGAAAAGGAAAAAUACCUGUAACGACUGAUUUGGCCUGGCAGGGAAUCUGUAUCAUUUAUUCAAAGAAACGAGCUGGUUUUAUACAGUUCUGCAAGGCACAGUGUUUCCUUACGUGGGAAUUCUCAGUACAUGACCUGUCCCACAUUGCCAUGUCAGCCACACACACUCUACAUGUCCUUCCAUGGGGUGAUGACAUGUUGUUCACCUGUCUGUCAGUCCCUGGCAGGCUCCUCUUGUAUGUAGGUAAAGCCUUAUAAAAGGAAGGCCUUGUCAAAUCAGGCCUUGUUACUUCAGCUAAGCUAACAGCUAAUCUGGUAAAUUCCUGUGAGACAAGAAUUAUAAGAAUGAGAAUCAGUUUGCAGAAGAAUCUAUUCUUGUGAGAGGACAGCUCACACUUAUGGGGUGGAAAAUUCUACCCAUGUGAAACAUUCACUUUCCAGGAGACAAAAAUGUAAACUUAUCUAGAAAGAGAAAAGUUGGAUGGACAUGUACACUAGCCAUUGCCAACCAAUGCACUGAGUUUAAACAAAUUGCUGGCCAAUUAGAUUUAAACACAGUGCCUUCUGAUAAUGAUAUAAAUAAUGCUAAUGAGCUGUGUGAAUAAAGGUGCAGCUAUUCUGCGUGAAGAAACAAGUGUCUUGUCCAUCUCUGUUGUGACAUCCUCUCCUGCAGGGCUCUGCUGGGAUGCCUCCUUCCCCCAAGGUCAUGCAGAGACAAGCUGCCAUGUGCUUCUUGUGCUGCCUGUGAUGCUGUUUUGUGCUGCCAUGUGCUUCUUGUGCUGUCCUGUGCUGCUGUAUUUUGUUUCCACAUGCUUCUUGUGCUGCCAUGUGUUGUUCUGUGCUGCCACGUGCUCCUUUGUGCUGCCAUGUGCUUCUGCAGGCAUGUCCCACAGCCCGUGGCUCAGCUCCAUCCCAUCUCUUCCCACAAAUCCAUGUCAGAAAGAAGGGACAGCCAAGACUUGUGUAUCUGUCACUUCAGCAGCUGAAUUUCCCAUACACUUCCACGGAGAUCCCAUUAGCUCAGCAGGGAGCAAUAUAAGUGGGAAGGCAUUGGAUGUAACUGAGCUGGUGAUAAAUCCUCCUGCAGCCAGGCAUUAGUCAGACAUGUACUGAUCUAGUAACAAGUCAUGAUUACAGUUUAAUCCUGACUCGUGCUUUCAGAAUUAUGGACAAAAUUGAUCGUUUACUGUUGACUUUUACAAUUCCCCAAAGUAACAGUAUGGGAUUAUCUUUUACCAAAGGAAUUAUUCAAUUUGAGGCUGAAGCCAUAUAACUGCAGACUUUUGACACAGCUGGGAUCAUUAAUAUUGUCAGAGAGGUAUAUGUGAACAACUUCUAAACUGGGCACUAAUCACAUGCCAUGUAGUAAAUUCUUUAGCACCUUACUUAACAUGCUGAAAUCUAGGAUACCAAGUUCUAAAACUUAGCUGGCUUUCUGAUUUUCAGUUUGGAAGAAUCCUUUUUGCCCCACCUUUCCAGAUGUGAUAGGCAUUGCACAAAGGCUUCGUUCCUCUGGUGCCUGAAAAUGGAAAUGCAAUAGAAGAACAUCUCUGAUGUUCUUCACGGUGUUAGGUGUGAUGAAUUAGAGAAAGUAAUAAUUUAUAUGUGUGGUUGUUAUUAUAUCUUAAAAAAUGUGCUGCUGGUCAUUAGAGAUAAGAUUGUUUCUUUUCCUGCAUUAUCUAGACUGCAUAUUUUUGAUUCAUUGCGGUUAGGAUCUGUCAUUUUUCAUGGGUCAAUAAGACAGAAAAUUAGGGAGCCUGUUUUCUUGAAAAUUGAGAUUUAAUUGCCCAGUUGUCUCUCACAUAAAAUAUUUUUUUAAUCAAAAUUAACUUUUCUUACAAAGCUCUUGAUUUUAAUUUAUUUUAGCCAUAAAUUUAGCACUUUUUGAAAAAUAUAGGAUAAAUUAUUUCCUCUGAGUAACUUCGCAAACAUUUAAGCUUUACGAUUUAACUGAAUUUAUUUUGUACUGUAAACAAACACUAUUGUUGAAUACUUCUGUGAAUAUGUGUUUGAUUUGUACAAGGGUCACACACAGUUUAUAUGCUAAGAUCAAAAAGAUGCUUAGCACUAAACUUAUUAGUAGAAAGAAAUCUGACACUGAUACCUGUUUGGUGGAAUUACAGAAGGUGAUACUUGCUUAGUACCUGUGUAGGUAGUGAUAUAUGUUAAAUGGUUUAUAACUAGGAUUAUUACAGAUACAUAUUUAUUUUUCCAAAGCUUAAUGUGUUUUCUCUGUCAUCAUCAUGACUCUGAAGUAAUUUUCAUAAUGUAUCAAUAUAUGUAAUGCCAAAUCAUAUAUCCCUAGUGAGUAUCCAGCCUGGCCUUGAACACUUCCAGGGAUCCACAACUUCUCUGGACAACCUGUUCUAGUGCUUCAUCACUCUCAGAGUAAUGAAUUUCUUCCUAAUUCCUAAUAUAUAAACUAGACCUACUGUCUUUUAGUCUGAAUCCAUUCCCCCUUGCCACUACCCUUGUAAAAAGUCUCUCUCUGUCUUUCUUGAAGGCUCCCUUCAAGUUCUAGAAGGCCACAAUGAGGCCCAGAGCCUCUUCUCCAGGCUGAACAAACCCAGUUCUCUCAGCCUUUCCUUGUAGGAGAGGUGCUUCAUCUUCUGAUCGUUGUGGUGGCCUCCUCUGGACUCGCUCCAGCAGCCCCUUGUCAUUCCUGCUGUUAUUCCUGUUGUAUUCCUAUUAUUGCUGGCGCCCAGAGCUGGCUGUAGCACUCGAGGUACGCUUGCAGUUCCUUAGAGAGGAUGGGCUGUAAUGAGGUGGAUGCCUGAUUUAAUUUUUUAAAUGUAUUGACUGGGGCAAAGAGGGCAUGAAAUGUAUCUUCAGCUAAUAAUUCCCAUUGGUUUCAGAAGAAAAAGCACCAACGUGGAGAAGUGGUUAGGGGAUUUGCUGAUAGAUGGAGUUGGGUCAAGAAAGAAAUGCUAGUGAGUUUUUUGGGGAAAGAGUCUAGAAAUGAUAAAUCCAAGGCGUAAAAGAUGAGUGAGAAAGAGGAAUCUGAUCUGGUGUGGGCACUGAAAACGCAGACAGAAAAACCUUGAAUAGUCUGUCAGUCAGAGUUCAGCACUUGGUUAUUGUUAUAUAAAGGCAAUAAAAAUAGCUUACCAAGUCAUUCCUGCAGAAGUGCAGACAGCCUGUAAACCUGAUCAGUGUAUCCAGGAUCCCUUGUAUGAUCCCAGAAAAGAGCUUAUGAGAGGUUGGUGCUGGGGAGAGGAGGUCCAGCCACAGUGGUGCAGGAAGUGUCUUGUAUAAAUACCCAAAGCUUCCCAAUGCUGAAGGAGACAUGGGGGCCCGAGGUCACCCACCUGGGUGUCCCAGCAGCCUGGAGGAGGGAUGCCUGGCUCGUGCAGUGUGCCAUCCUCACCCAGGCUGUGCCACAUCCCCAUCACCCCAGGAGGCUGACUGAUUUCUUUGUUCCUGCUUGGCACCUGGGAGAUGACUGGCAGACCAGUUGAGAAAUCAGCUGAACUCCUCUUUCAGGUCACUUCGUCAGCAGAAUUGCACUGGCUUUAGAAAAGCAAGUCUUAAUUUAAAAUUGUGUAACUGCAAAUUGAACUGCACCCACUGCUGUGAUGAAUGUAGGUGUUUUUUUUGUUUUUUUUUUUUUUUCCAUACAGGCAUAAAAACUGGUAUUUAUCUCUAAUGGUAAGUGUACAGGCUAUCACAAUAUUUAUUUUAUUUCCAGGUGUGGUGGCUUUUCUGCUGUCACCUGAGGUAGUCCGUUUUCUGCAUGAACACACUGUGACUCCAGAUUCUGUAUUUUUGUGUUAGUCAGCAAACGUUUUUUAAGAUGUGCAUGGCAGCAAUUCUAUUGCUACAAAUGUGAAUACAUAGAGACAGCAUAAGGCAAUUUUUUAAGGUAUACAUUUAUCUUAAAAUCUCUUUGGUGAAUGCAAGCAAAGCAAAAGAUCCUUGAACCUCCCUCGUGUUGAGGUGAUCUGUAUGUUGCAUCCUUUGAGACAUUUGUCACUGUCUGGUGAAAGGACCCUCUAUAUCAAAGAAAAUACUUAUUUUCAGACAUUUUUUCGCUGCCAUAGUUUUGAAAGAUGGAAAAAAAUUGAAGUGCUUAGAAUCAUAACGUGUUAGCCUAACUGUUGAGCAAAAUAAUUUAUUCUAGUGUGAAGUAACCAGGUUUCUGAUUUUGUGUGAUGAUUUACACUCAGUAAUGUGGCUUGUUACAAAAUUGCUCUAAUGAAGAGUUGCAAAUAUCUAUCAAGGAGAAGAGAGUAAUUAGAAAUAAAAACCUAUGUAGGAAAACCUAAUGCUGUGUAUAACUAUGUAGAUCCUAGAGUGCAAAUAACCUGCACCUGGACAACCUCUCCUGAAAGUUCCACCAAGUUCAGGGGCCCAAUUAAAUGGUAGAAGGUGCCAUCAUAUUUCUGGGAAGCCAGCUGCUCUGUAGCAUUGCUCAAGGGAAC
rnacentral:lncRNA from 1 species